rnacentral:pre_miRNA from 1 species
AUCCCUUGGGGAUUUUGUUAAAAUGCAGACUCUGAUUCAGUUGGUCAGGAGUGAGGCCUGAGAUUUUGCAUUUGUAAUAAGAUCUCAGGUGAUGCUGA